rnacentral:rRNA from 1 species
CGGUGUUUAACUGGCGUGAUGUGGGACGUCCUACCGGUGGGCUUAGCCUCGCGAGGGGCGGCCCAACUAAUAUCCCGUCGCGGUGCUCUUUACUGAGUGUCGAGUCGGGCCGGUACGUUUACUUUGAACAAAUUAGAGUGCUUAAAGCAGGCUAUCCUCGCCUGAAUACUGCGUGCAUGGAAUAAUGGAAUAGGACCUCGGUUCUAUUUUGUUGGUUUUCGGAACCCCGAGGUAAUGAUUAAUAGGGACAGAUGGGGGCAUUCGUAUUGCGACGUUAGAGGUGAAAUUCUUGGAUCGUCGCAAGACGGACAGAAGCGAAAGCAUUUGCCAAAAAUGUUUUCAUUAAUCAAGAACGAAAGUUAGAGGUUCGAAGGCGAUCAGAUACCGCCCUAGUUCUAACCAUAAACGAUGCCAGCUAGCGAUCCGCCGAAGUUCCUCCGAUGACUCGGCGGGCAGCUUCCGGGAAACCAAAGCUUUUGGGUUCCGGGGGAAGUAUGGUUGCAAAGCUGAAACUUAAAGGAAUUGACGGAAGGGCACCACCAGGAGUGGAGCCUGCGGCUUAAUUUGACUCAACACGGGAAACUUCACCAGGCCCAGACACCGGAAGGAUUGACAGAUUGAUAGCUCUUUCUUGAUUCGGUGGGUGGUGGUGCAUGGCCGUUCUUAGUUGGUGGAGCGAUUUGUCUGGUUAAUUCCGAUAACGAACGAGACUCUAGCCUGCUAAAUAGGCGUACCUUAUGGUAUCGCGAAGGCCCCCGGCUUCGGCCGGUGGGUUUUUACUACCAACGUACAAACAAAUCUUCUUAGAGGGACAGGCGG